GCCGCCAUUUUUGUAACUACCCCCAAGCGGUCGCUUUCCGCAAAAUCGCCAUCUUGUCGUGUUCAACGUCACGGAACUAUCGCCCAAUCACAUCUCGGCUUGGCUUGUUUUCUUUAUUAUGUUUUGUUUCUCCGUCUCAGCUGAUCCGUGUCAUCUGCUUCGCCGCUUUCGACGUCCGCUUUGACUUCGCGUGUUUGGCUAUUGAAUUGCGUUUGCUUGCCACACAUGCCACUUCUGUGACAGGCCAUGGUAGUGUGUUGUUAUUCCGGUUGCGCUAAUCGUUCAGAGUUUGCAAGUAAAGAAUCUGGCAUAACGUACCACCACUUUCCCCGAGACGAGUCCUUACGAUUGCAAUGGGUGAAUGCGAUCGGGAGACCGGAUUGGGUGCCAACGAAGUACAGCCGAGUGUGCUCAAAACACUUCAGGAACGAGGACUUCGACAGAACGUCGCUAACACGCGUGCGCCUGCGGGAGGGUUCCGUUCCUGUCGCACAUCCGUCGGUUCAAGUUCACCAGGAGGAGCAUGACUUGCCAGCCAGACGGGAACCUAGCGGGCAAGAACCAAUAGGCGUGUGCACGCCUGAACCCGGCACGAGCAACGUGAGCCUGCCUGAGCCUGACACACAGGAGGAGAUUGAAGUGAGCAUGGCGUCUGGAUCUGA